CCUACGGGUGGCAGCAGUCGAGAAUCAUUCACAAUGGGGGAAACCCUGAUGGUGCGACGCCGCGUGGGGGAAUGCAGGUCUUCGGAUUGUACACCCCUGUCAUGUGGGAGCAAAUUAAAAAGAUAGUACCACAAGAGGAAGAUCCGGCUAACUCUGUACCAGUAGCCGCGGUAAUACAGAGGUCUCAAGCGUUGUUCGGAAUCCCUGGGGUGAAAUCGUGCGUAGGCUGUUGAGUAAGUCUUGUGUGAAAGGCGCGGGCUCAACCCGCGGACGGCACAUGAUACUGCUAGACUAGAGUAGUGGAGGGGGAUGCGGAAUGCUAGGUGUAGCAGUGAAAUGCGUAGAUAUCGAGAGGAACACUCGUGGCGAAGGCGGGUUCCUGGACAUUAACUGACGCUGAGGCACGAAGGCCAGGGGAGCGAAAGGGAUUAGAUACCCCUGUAGUC
rnacentral:rRNA from 1 species